GAUUAACGCUGGCGGCGUGCAUAACACAUGCAAGUCGAACGAAGUGGCGGACGGGUGAGUAACGCGUGAGUAACCUGCCUUAGAGAAGGGGAUAGCCUUUGGAAACGAAGAAUAAUAACCUAUGCUCUAAGAUGGACUUGCGUCUGAUUAGUUAGUUGGUGAGGUAACGGCUCACCAAGACAGCGAUCAGUAGCCGGCUUGAGAGAGUGUACGGCCACAUUGGGACUGAGACACGGCCCAGACUCUACGGGAGGCAGCAGUGGGGAAUUUUGCACAAUGGGGGAAACCCUGAUGCAGCGACGCCGCGUGAUUUAGAAGGCCUUCGGGUUGUAAAAAUCUUUUCUAUGGGAAGCAGUACCAUAGGAAUAAGGACCGGCUAAUUACGUGCCAGCAGCCGCGGUAAUAC
rnacentral:rRNA from 1 species